rnacentral:rRNA from 1 species
AUGGAUGAACCAUUUUGGGAUCUGCAUGACCAUCCCAAGAUCACUCAUGCCCAGAGAGCUACAUUUUGUUGCCAUUGCAUGGUGUGGUGUACUCUCAGUUCACAUUGCCGCAACCUUGAUUGGUGUGACCGACCGAUCUGUGAUUUAGUUGAUUGCAAGCAGCAGGCAGGUGCCCUCCAUGGACGGGAUGAAGAGGACCUGGACGUGGGGGACCCCACCCAUGAGCUCGACCAUAAAGACAUGGCCGAGUCUAACCCUGAGCUCGACGACGCUGGACAAGGGACACAACCGCUAGCACCUUGGAUGCCUACGAGGAGCUGCUUCGUUGAGGGACCGCACUGUCCUCUUCCUCCCAGAUCGAGCAGGUCCCAGAUCCGCGACGACCACAACGGUGCUCCUGGACGGGAGAGGAGGGCGACCAUGCUUCGACCCGACACCAUGGAAGGUCUCUCCCCCAUCUCCUCUCUCUGUUCGGUUCAUUGUUUUUCUCUUUCAGAUUUGAGCAUGAGCAGAUUUCAGUUCUCUGUUAGUUUUAUGCAACCUGAGAGUUGGACCGUUGCAAAACCUGAUGAUCCCUGCUUACUUAAUCAGCCCCUGGAGCGCGUCAAGGUCCUUCUUCUCCUCCCACAAAUGGUCAACUUGGUGCUGCUCCCUCUGCAGUGUAGGAGAACAAUACCCAUGGAGAUUCAUGGAAUUGUAUGGUCGAGAAGGUCGGUGUUGACAACAGCGCUGAAGCUAUGCGUCCUCCCCUACAAGCAGUAUGGAUCCGCCAUGGCUGGACUAAGUUUCACCACGAGAAUCCAUGCUUUAUUUUGUCAGUACAAGGCAUGCUUGCCGCUCACUGUCUCGUUUGUCGCCAGGAUUCAAGGAUCUCCAUUGGAAAGAAUGUGCCAAGCAAGAUACACGCAGGUCGUCGGAGAAGAAUCUUUAGCAAGAAAGCAAGUCCAAGACACACGCAGCACUAGGAUCUUGGGUUGUUGGAGAAGAGUCUGCAGCAAAAAAGCAACGAGAGACAAGAUGGGAGAUCAGGGGGGUACCUGCCUGCAAUCCAAGGAGCAAAUCGAGGCCACCCCUGUGACCAAGCAAGAUGCUACAGUUAGAAGAGAACGGGCGCUCGCCUACGGAUUCUCCCAUUAG